UACGAGGGGUGCAAGCGUUAUUCGGAAUUAUUGGGCGUAAAGGGUGCGUAGGCGGUAUGUUAAGUCAAUUGUUCAAUUCUCCGGCCCAACCGGAGGCAAGCGAUAGAUACUGGCAUACUAGAGGGUGGAAGAGAGAAGUGGAAUUCUCGGAGUAGCGGUAAAAUGCGUAGAUCUCGAGAGGAACACCAAUGGCGAAGGCAGCUUCUUGGUCCACACCUGACGCUGAGGCACGAAAGCGUGGGGAGCAAACAGG
rnacentral:rRNA from 1 species